CCUAAUUCUAACCAGCAAACACACACCAAUGGGGAUCAUUUAGAUUAAAUCAAAUAUCCACAUAACAUGAAUUGCAUAUUGUAGUAGCCCAUUAUUGCCCGGGUCUUAAAAACCAAAAAAACAAAAAAAUAAAUAAAUAUUUAUUUAUUACAGUCCAGGUACAAAAGCCCAAAUUAAUGGACCCAUUUAGCCUAAAUCUCAACUAAACCUAUAACCUGCUUAGCCCAGUAGCCCCUUUUACAACCAGAUACCCAAAUAUCCCGAGACCCAAUUAGCUUUAGCCUAAGUACCCAAGUUAGACCCAAAACCAGCAAGGCCCAUUGCCUAAACAGAAUCUGGAAACCCUAGGGUUUCCAGAAGCUUCACGCCGCAACUGAUGCGUCCCUUCGUUUCACCCCGUAACUCCGGCUUCGAAUCACGCCAAAAUCAAUGCAGAUCAGCGCCGGUUUACGCCCUAGGUCUCGUUGUAAUUGAGACGCAAAUCGACACCGUGAUCAAGUGCCUUUUCUUCUCCUCGAACAUCUACAAAAAAAGAAAGAAAGGACAGACACAAAACAAAUAUGGCAGGAAAUAUUUUUUAAAACAUGUAAAAAUGCUAUUGACAGUGACUAUAAAAAGCCUGAUUCAGAACAAUGUAAGGGACCUUUUUUUUGAGGGAAUAAAAAUACACACAUAUAUUCGAAGAACAAGGAGAUUCAAACAGUUUCUUUAAAGGUGAUUAAAGUUCUAUAUUCUAUUAUUUAUUUGUUUUUUUUCUCAACAGACAUACAAAUUGUUUUUUUUUAAAAACUGAUAAUAUUAAAAGAGAAGAAGAUUACCUGCAUUUUACCCAGAAGAGCGAAGGUUUUUAGCCUUCUGAGCCACCGUAUGUGGCGGCUGAUAAUAUUAAAAGAGAAGAAGAUUACCUGUAUUUUACCCAGAAGAGCGAAGGUUUUUAGCCUUCUGAGCCACCGUAUGUGGCGGCGCGUGAGAGGUUGGAGACGGAAGCUCAACGGAGCGCUGAGAGUCCCUUCCUCAUUCCUCUUUCAGAGGAUUCUUUUAUUUUUUUUAAAACCAAAAGUGAUU
rnacentral:lncRNA from 1 species